GGGAGUUUAGCUCAGUUGGUUUAGAGCAUCUGCCUUACAAGCAGAGGAUCACAAGUUCGACUCUUGUAACUCCCA
rnacentral:tRNA from 1 species